rnacentral:rRNA from 1 species
GAGUUUGAUCCUGGCUCAGGAUGAACGCUGGCGGCGUGCCUAAUACAUGCAAGUCGAGCGAACAGAUAAGGAGCUUGCUCCUUUGAAGUUAGCGGCGGACGGGUGAGUAACACGUGGGUAACCUACCUAUAAGACUGGGAUAACUUCGGGAAACCGGAGCUAAUACCGGAUAAUAUUUAGAACCGCAUGGUUCUAAAGUGAAAGAUGGUUUUGCUAUCACUUAUAGAUGGACCCGCGCCGUAUUAGCUAGUUGGUAAGGUAACGGCUUACCAAGGCGACGAUACGUAGCCGACCUGAGAGGGUGAUCGGCCACACUGGAACUGAGACACGGUCCAGACUCCUACGGGAGGCAGCAGUAGGGAAUCUUCCGCAAUGGGCGAAAGCCUGACGGAGCAACGCCGCGUGAGUGAUGAAGGGUUUCGGCUCGUAAAACUCUGUUAUUAGGGAAGAACAAAUGUGUAAGUAACUGUGCACAUCUUGGCGGUACCUAAUCAGAAAGCCACG